rnacentral:lncRNA from 1 species
UCGGGGAUUCGAAAUCGAGUUGGGGGUUUCGAGUUAGGGUUCUAAAUCGAUUUGGGGGUUUCGUUUUAUGGUUGUAAAUCGUCAUGAGGGUUCAAUUUAGGGUUCGUUUCAACAUAAUGUUUCGUCAUUAUGUUCUAAUCAUUUCGAUUUCUGGUACAGAUGGAUCCCGCAGAAGAGAGAAGAGAGACAAAGAGGCAAAAGGAGUACAUCAACAUGCUAGGAUACGUGGCCGAUUCAGAAUACAGGAUUCCUACAAGGUGUCUGUGUG